GGAAUAUUGGACAAUGGGGGAAACCCUGAUCCAGCCAUGCCGCGUGAGUGAAGAAGGCCUUAGGGUUGUAAAACUCUUUCGGCGGGGAAGAUGAUGACGGUACCCGCAGAAGAAGCCCCGGCGAACUCCGUGCCAGCAGCCGCGGUAAUACGGAGGGGGCUAGCGUUGUUCGGAAUUACUGGGCGUAAAGCGCGCGUAGGCGGCUAAGUAAGCCGGUUGUGAAAGCCCCGGGCUCAACCUGGGAACGGCAUCCGGAACUGUUUAGCUAGAGUGCAGGAGAGGAAGGUAGAAUUCCCGGUGUAGCGGUGAAAUGCGUAGAGAUCGGGAGGAAUACCAGUGGCGAAGGCGGCCUUCUGGACUGACACUGACGCUGAGGUGCGAAAGCGUGGGUAGCA
rnacentral:rRNA from 1 species